rnacentral:misc_RNA from 1 species
GCUUUUUCCAAGAAGAGAAAAAACACAAGACAAAAAUAUAACUACAAAGAGAGUUGCACCAAGAAACAGAGAUGGGUAGACCACCUUGUUGUGAUAAAACGGGGGUGAAGAAAGGACCAUGGACUCCUGAAGAAGAUAUUAUGCUAGUCUCUUUUGUUCAAGAACAUGGUCCAGGGAAUUGGAGGACUGUUCCCACUCAUACAGGGCUACGGAGAUGUAGCAAAAGCUGCAGACUAAGGUGGACUAACUACCUCAGACCAGGAAUCAAGAGGGGUAGCUUCAGUGAUCAAGAGGAGAA